rfam:Aedes albopictus isolate Foshan contig136580, whole genome shotgun sequence.
UAGCCUAGUGGUUAAGGCUAUGGAUCACCAAUCCGGACACGGCGGGUUCGAUUCCCGU